GUGCCUCCCUUCUCCAUUUCUGUUCUUGGUCCCUGCAUUUCUUUCUCUGCUGCUGUUUCCCUGCCAGCUCUGGGCUCCGCUUCUCUCCUUGCUAAUCUUCAUUGCUGCAUGCGCUGCUGCUGCUGUUUUUGUUUUGUGCCUCUCUCUGGCGAGGACACAUUAGCUCACCCUUUUCUCAGAAAGCUGUGGGAACAGCCCCACCCUUGUUCCCUGCUCCGCGCAUGUGUCCCCAGUCGAGAAAUAAACAAGCCCUUGUUAUAAAUGGGCAGCCGGCUCAGCUGCCAUUGUCGUCACGCUGCCUCUGUGCCAUGCAAGCGCUGCCGGGAGGGGAACACUCUGUCUAUAAAGUGCCGCGGGAACAAAUUCCAUUUGGAGCAGCGGUUGCGUUGGGGCCUGCAGGGAGCAGGUCAGGAGACUGCUUCAGGCCUGCCGCCUGCGCAUUCCUGGUGUUCCCUUUGCACGCUGUUGCCCGGGAAACGGCACAAAGCUCCGCUGAUAAAGCCAAAUGUGAAAGGCAGUCCUGCUGAAGCAGUUUCCAGUGUGGGAGCCAGGAGAGACAAAUUCAGUGAUAGGAGGAGAGGAUCAGGCACAGUUAUGGAUGCUACUUGUGGAUAGCUCAACUGGCUAGAGCAUGGCGCUAAUAACCCCAAGGUCACAGGUUCAAUUCCCUUAAAGGGCAGCUGCAUAUCCUUCCAAUUCUAUGAUUCUACUCAAUUUCCUGAGGUGUGCUCAUCUCAUUCAGGGGAGAUGGGAACCAUUUCCAACCCCAGGCCCACAUUCCCUUCGGGCAACUGAACCUCCUGAGGACUACAAGCCUGUGGUGGGCAGGGCCAGAGACCUGCAUGGGUGGAUCAAGGAAUGCAAAUAUUACCUUUGCACAGCUGGUUUUGACCUAGGCACCAUUCUCCAUUGUUCAUCCAGGCAUGCAAGAAUCAGUGUCAGAGUUCAAGAACACCUUCCAGCUAGGAGAAAACACCUCAAGACUAAAAGGAACUCGAAGCAUCACUGGAGAAAAAUGUGUGUCAGAAGAGUUCCUCACAUUUCUACAGCCUGGAGUCUGCGGUAUUUUUGGAAGAAUCAGCAUGGUAUGGCUGUGUCUUCUUGGUUAUUCUGGAACAGCAAGCACUUGCUACUUUUUAAAGCCAGCAGUGGCCUUGUUAUAAGGCAGCCUUUGCCGACCAUAGGUUUUCUGCUACAACUCCCAUCAGCCCUAGGCAGCACAGCCAGUAGAUCUCUUAGACCAGCUUAGACCAGCGGUCCAUUCAUCCCAGGGAUGGCGAAUCUGUGACCAUCCAGACACUGUGGGACUCUGGUUCCCAUCAGCCCCAGACAGCAGGGUCAGUGGUCAAGGAGAUGUGGUCCACUGGCACCUAGAGGACCAUACUGGUUCCCUAUCACUUCAGCAAGAGACAAUUUCUCCCAUGCAAGCCUGAGAGCAUGCAAUCAAUGCUCCAUGGUCAAUGUCAAAGAAGUCUCUGCUUGAUCAGUGGGGAGCCCCUAUUUCACCCACGCUCUUCCCAUCAAGUGGCCUCUAAGUCCUCACAAGCAGGGCAUGAAGGAGAUGGUUGUCGCUAGAAGUUUGUCCCUCCCUAGCAUCUGGCAUGCCUAGAGGUAUCCUGCCCUGGUAUGUGGAGGCUCCAUCUAGCUUCCAUGUCUGGAUACGAGAUGAAGCUUCCUAUUUCCCCCUCUACUUCUAGCUUCUGAACUAGAAGUUGGAAGUACAGCUUAUAAAUUGAACUCAUUUAUAUCCAACCCUUCUUCCAAGGACCUAGGUAAGCAGCCGUUUAGCUUUUUACCUUGUUAACAACCCUAGGAAGUGGUGAUGCUGAGAGAGCUUGAUUUGCCCAAAGCCAACCAAGGAACUCUGUGGCUCUGAGUGGAGGUUUGGUCCUCCCCCUUUCUCAUCAAGUCAACACUCUUUCUCCACUAUUGGCACCCGAUUCCCCUCCACCCACCCCAUAGAAACAAACAAGCUUGGAAGAGUGUUCUCUUUAAAUCAACCUUAGUGCUGUUAAUGGGGCAAUUCUACAUUUUCACAUAUUGAAACAGGUAAGCAUUUGUUCUGCCUAGCUUUUAGCAUGUAUGUUAUCUACUGUGGACCGAAUAUUUUCUGGUUUUAUUGUUAUUGAUUUUUUAGAUUAUUUUUAACUACUCUGGGAUUUCUAAUGGAAUGCGCUGUACAAAGGAUUUAAUAUGUAUGUUGCAGUUUCCACCCCCUGCUCCAAUAAGAAACAGAUUUCACUGUCAUGUCUGUCUGUGUGUCUCUCUCUCUCUGUGUCCAUGCGUGUGUAUACUUAGGGACAGCCCAGAUCUCUUCCAAAGCAUUCAGCUCACUCUUCCCUGACUAAUUUCAUCCACCAGUGUUGCAAUAGGAAGACCUGCAACUUCCAUCUUCUGAACUCAUUGACUCAUCAACAUCACUAGUGGGUUAACUCUACAAUCAUAGAAUUGCUUUCUUCUCUGUGGGACUCCAAUAAAGAAAGCCUUUAUUAUGGGACUGUAAUGUAGUUCCAUCUUUCCAUUGCAACACUGGUGGCUGGAAUGAGAAGAGUUCAAACUAGGGCAGGAGAAAUGGAAAGCUUUGGGAAAGGCCUGGCUUGACCUCCUUGCCUGCCUGCCUACACACACACACACACACACACACACACACACACACACACACACAAUUUCUUAUUAGUCCCACUGAUUUCCCCAAGGACUGUGCUGUUAUGGCAUUGCUAUGGUGGAAUCUAGCAUGAGUCCCAUGACCCAUGGGGAACUGGGUAUGGAUUGGCAGGCUCAGAUGGAGAUGAAGAAUGAAGAAGCAGUGAGACAGAAGUUAUGGGAACUGGGGAUGGAGGACAGACGUUCUCCCUUUUGAUGCCAGCUACUAUAGAAGUGGGAGCAGGAACAUUGGCUCCUGGGGGGGGGGCAGGGAGCCUCAUUGGCUGAAGAGGUCCUGGACUACUGGGGUAAAGGAGAGCAGCAGAAGCAGCAACAUGGUGUCCUUGGUUCACCCCUCGAGGGUCCCCAGUCAUCCUCCUGGAUAUUGAGAAAAUCUCUCUGAAAUAACCUCCAUCUCACAAGAGCCAAUGUUCACAUUAAGGUUACCAGACGUCCCCGUUUCCUGGGGACAGUCCCCGGAUUUACAAAUCAGUCCCCUGACAAAAUCCAUCUAUUUAGUAGGAAGUUGAAAAGUGUCCCCGGAUUCAUUGAAAAAAAUCUGGUAACCUUCAUUCACAUACACUUGCUGCUGGAAAGAUGAGCAACUGCAAAUAGCCCUGAGUUUGUAUAUUCUGCCUCACAAUCCCCAAUGAAAGAAAUACUUCCACUUACGCAUGCUGGAAUUGCAAUACACCCCACCCCCAAGUUGGGGGAACUACUUUUUGGAACUUCAGAGCCACUCCCAUGGUUUUUUAAGGACCCUUUCUACUUCUUUACACUGAAAAGGAAAACAAGCCAGUAGAAGCAGCACUCCCUCCCUUAUUUCAGGUGGUUUCAAUACAGUUACAGUAUAAUUAGUUUUUACUUACUUUUUGCAAGCCAGCAUUGAUUUGGAGUCCACAUAAAGCCCAUGCAUAGGAACACAGGUACUGUAUCUGCUUCCAGACUGUUGCUAUUUUCAGGCAGGAAUCAAUCACAGGCCAGCAAAUACAGGUUGCACAACUGUAGUUGAUUGGGCCGUUAUCCAGAACAAACCCAUCUGUGGCAAGGAAAGUGAUGGGGAAUUGCCCUGGAAAGUGUGAGAUAGCCCUUGCUUUGAUGUAAGAUAAUCCAAUCAGGAUGACUGCUCAAUGAACAGGUCAUCUGGAAGUGCCCUCCAUGUCUACCAAUCAGUAGCCAUUCUCUGGGGUUUGAGGCAGGGAUGUUGCCUAGCUUUCCCUCAAGAAGCCAGGGAAUGAACCCAAUAUUGUCUGCAUGGAAAGCCUGUGUGUUCUACCACUGAGCUGAAGCUCUUCCC
rnacentral:lncRNA from 1 species